rnacentral:rRNA from 1 species
AGUGAACGCUGGCGGUAGGCCUAACACAUGCAAGUCGAACGGCAGCACAGUAAGAGCUUGCUCUUACGGGUGGCGAGUGGCGGACGGGUGAGGAAUACAUCGGAAUCUACUUUUUCGUGGGGGAUAACGUAGGGAAACUUACGCUAAUACCGCAUACGACCUACGGGGGAAAGCAGGGGAUCUUCGGACCUUGCGCGAUUGAAUGAGCCGAUGUCGGAUUAGCUAGUUGGCGGGGUAAAGGCCCACCAAGGCGACGAUCCGUAGCUGGUCUGAGAGGAUGAUCAGCCACACUGGAACUGAGACACGGUCCAGCCUCCUCCGGGAGGCAGCAGUGGGGAAUUUUGGACAAUGGGCGCAAGCCUGAUCCAGCCAUACCGCGUGGGUGAAGAAGGCCUUCGGGUUGUAAAGCCCCUUUGUUGGGAAAGAAAAGCAGCAGGUUAAUACCCCGCUGUUCUGACGGUACCCAAAGAAUAAGCACCGGCUAACUUCGUG